rnacentral:rRNA from 1 species
GCCCGGGCGAAGCCCGAUCAGCCCCCCGCGCGAGCGAAGAAGGCCCCCGGGCCGAAAGCCCCCCCGCAAGGGAAGAAAACCCAGGCGCCAACACCGCCCGAGGCCGACGGCACCCCGACAAGAAGCACCGGCCAACCACGCGCCAGCAGCCGCGGCAAAACGCAGGGUGCGAGCGCCAAUCGGAACCACCGGGCGCAAAGCGUGCGCAGGCGGUCCUGUAAGCCAGAUGCGAAAUCCCCGAGCCCAACCCGGGAACCGCGUUUGAAACUACAAGACUAGAAUAUGUCAGAGGGGGGUAGAAUCCCACGCGUAGCAGUGAAAUGCGUAGAGAUGUGGAGGAAUACCAAUGGCGAAGGCAGCCCCCUGGGAUAAUAUUGACGCUCAUGCACGAAAG